CCUACGGGUGGCAGCAGUGGGGAAUAUUGGACAAUGGGCGAAAGCCUGAUCCAGCCAUGCCGCGUGUGUGAAGAAGGCCUUCGGGUUGUAAAGCACUUUCAGUGGGGAAGAAAGCCUUGGGGCUAAUACCCUCGAGGAAGGACAUCACCCACAGAAGAAGCACCGGCUAACUCCGUGCCAGCAGCCGCGGUAAUACGGAGGGUGCGAGCGUUAAUCGGAAUUACUGGGCGUAAAGCGCGCGUAGGCGGUCUGAUAAGCCGGUUGUGAAAGCCCCGGGCUCAACCUGGGAACGGCAUCCGGAGAUGUCGGGCGAGAGUGCAGGAGAGGGGGGGAGAAUUCGCGGGGUAGAGGUGAAAUGCGGAGAGAUCGGGAGGCAUAACGGUGGCGAAGGCGGCCUUCUGGACUGACACUGACGCUGAGGUGCGAAAGAGUGGGUAGCAAACAGGAUGAGAGACCCCGGUAGUG
rnacentral:rRNA from 1 species